GACGGGGGGGGCAAGUGUUCUUCGGAAUGACUGGGCGUAAAGGGCACGUAGGCGGCGAAUCGGGUUGAAAGUGAAAGUCGCCAAAAAGUGGCGGAAUGCUCUCGAAACCAAUUCACUUGAGUGAGACAGAGGAGAGUGGAAUUUCGUGUGUAGGGGUGAAAUCCGUAAAUAUACGAAGGAACGCCAAAAGCGAAGGCAGCUCUCUGGGUCCCUACCGACGCUGGGGUGCGAAAGCAUGGGGAGCGAACAGG
rnacentral:rRNA from 1 species